GGAACCUCAAUGACCCUUCUCUGGUGUCCCAAAAAUUAUUUCCCUGCGUUUCCCUCGGGUUUAGGGCUACUAGCUGUCUUUACAGUAACUUCCCGUUAAGUCACUCAUCACAGGGGCACCGACUCAUUUAAUUCAUUUGCAAUUCACUUCUUUUAUUUUUUCUUAAUUUUACUUAGUCUUUAUUCAGUCAAUUUAUGCCUCAUCACUCUAGUUAGAGUGUAGUUCUAGCCAUCCUAGCUGUCCCGACAAACAUUAGUCGUCGAAAUAAUAGAAUAUACGGACUAUCUAAAGUGAGGGCG
rnacentral:misc_RNA from 1 species